UACGUAGGAGGCAAGCGUUGUCCGGAAUUACUGGGUGUAAAGCGCGUGUAGGCGGCAGGCCAAGUCUGUGGUGAAAUCGCUCGGCUCAACUGGGCGGGGUCCAUGGAAACUGGUCAGCUGGAGGACGGUAGAGGUGAGUGGAAUUCCCGGUGUAGUGGUGAAAUGCGUAGAGAUCGGGAGGAACACCCGUGGCGAAGGCGGCUCACUGGGCCGGUCCUGACGCUGUGACGCGAAGGCGUGGGGAGCGAACGGG
rnacentral:rRNA from 1 species